rnacentral:rRNA from 1 species
AAAUUGAAGAGUUUGAUCAUGGCUCAGAUUGAACGCUGGCGGCAGGCCUAACACAUGCAAGUCGAGCGGUAGCACAGAGAGCUUGCUCUCGGGUGACGAGCGGCGGACGGGUGAGUAAUGUCUGGGAAGCUGCCUGAUGGAGGGGGAUAACUACUGGAAACGGUAGCUAAUACCGCAUAACGUCGCAAGACCAAAGUGGGGGACCUUCGGGCCUCAUGCCAUCAGAUGUGCCCAGAUGGGAUUAGCUAGUAGGUGGGGUAACGGCUCACCUAGGCGACG